rnacentral:lncRNA from 1 species
GGCAGUCUGGUUUGCACAGUCUAGCCGUCGACUGGUUUACUGGACAGCUGUACUGGACGAGUGUUACCCAGAAAGCCAUCCUCACCGGUGCAGCUGAUGGCAGUGCUGUAGGGACGGUCAUGUCCAAAGAAAUGGACCCGAGAGAGAUGGUCCUCAGCCCAACGGAGAGGUACAAACUGAUUUUUACUGUAUAAGCACAGAUUUGAGGAGCACAGUUAUAUGUCUGAUUGUUUUUCCCCCUGUAGUUUCAUAUUUUGGAUUAAUAAAGGAGCGAAUGACGAGCUGACCAUCGAGAGGGCGGAGAUGGACGGUCUGAACCGGACUACACUGGUUUUCAUCACUGCACAGCUCCCGAGGAGUCUUACGAUGGAUGUGGCGGCGCGCCGGCUGUAUUGGAUCAGUGUUUACAAAGCGGUGUGUUUCGUCAAAAACCUGAGUUUAUUGAUUGUGUGUUUAUUUCGUUUUUAUCAUUGUUAUUGGUAUUCCAGUCAAUUGAGAGCAUCAGGACAGACGGCACUGGACGGCACACCUUCUGGGAUUUCUUUCAAGGACGUCCUGCUCAGACCCUGGCUGUGUUUAACGGCUGGUUUUACUUGGCUGAUGAGAAAAAACUCUGGCAGGCUACUCAAAAUAGAUCUUCUGACACACUAAAUGGCUUCAUCUUAAAAGCCUCGCUUCCUGUCUUGAACAUCUACCAUGUGCUUCAGCAGCCCAGAGGUUUUGCUCCGUGUAAAGACUCGGGCUGCCAGCUGUGUUUGCCGUCCAAGAAAACUCCUGCUGGAUUCACCUGUCUGUGUCCUGAGGGAGCGCUGCCCAUGUCUUGGGGAGCUUGUGAAAAUUUUAAGGUCGCCUAUGCAACAGCCACAGCUGUAUACAGUUUGGAGUUUGCAGGAGAGACUCCUGUGAAAACUGAACUCUUUACUUCAGAUGAAGACAUCCAGUCGUUUGACAUGUACUGGAGGAGAGGAUGUGUGGUGUGGUCUAAUGGGACGGGCCACGUGAAGACUAACAUACAGUCCCAGGACUUGUCGGAGUACAUCCUGACUUUAAAACCUGCCUGCAUCGUCAGAGUUGACCAGAGGACUGGGAAUCUGUAUUGGCUGGCCUGUGAUGAACUUUCCAUUGGGGUUUCUACCAUUGGCCCCCUCGACCAGAGUAUCUCCAGACAGCUGUAUCAAACCAGAACCGCAAUCCUAGACCUCUUUGUGGACUGGCAGAGAGGAAAGCUGUACUGGCUGGAGGGAAAGCAGGUCAUGAGGAUGAAACUGGGUCUGAUUGGUGGAAAUGUCGAAACUGCCUUCAGCUUCGAGGAGGAUGGAGUCGACCGCGUUGUGUUUGAUCAUAAAGCGAAUGGCUUCCUUUGGAGCAUGGAGUCUUACUUGCAGGUUAUGAGUCUACUGAAGAUGAGAAGGUACUCUGCUGGUAAAGACUGGGUCGUUCCUGGCUCCAUCAUGGCUGCUUAUGAACCCUACACGGUGACCUUGUUCAAUAACAUCCUGACCGUGUGGAAUCGCAAAGAUCGAGCUCGCGUCUCUGGAGUGGCGGUAGAGAAUGGAGUUGUUAGCUUAUCUGUAGCCCUUAGGGAAGUCCAACAAGAUACAACAGCGGAAGAUGUGCGUCCUACCGAGGUGACUUGCAAAAGUCCCCUAGUCAUUUGUCAAGGUUCAGCUGUUUGUAUCAGCCGAUCUCAGCAGUGUGAUGGGAACAGAGACUGUCCGGAUGGAUCUGAUGAGGCCUCGUGUGUGCACAUGUGUGCAAAGCCAGGUAUACUUUGACAUGCAUGCAUGCAUGGUUCACUCAAAUCCUUUAGUAAAAGUCAUUUGUUAAACUUAAUGUUGCUUGAAUCCUCGAUGACUUUCCUUUCAAGUUUUCUAAAUGCUUGAGACGUGUUCCUUCAGGUGACUUCCUGUGUGCGGACAGGAGGAAGUGUGUGGCGAGGGAUCUGGUGUGUGACGGUCGCUCUCACUGCACUGACGGCUCAGAUGAGACGGGAUGUCCCACCACUGCUCCUGAAACCGUCUCCACAGCAUUAAAGUGUCGUGUGGGCUCUAAACCCUGUGAGGACGGCCGUGAGUGUGUGCUGUACAGUCAUGUGUGUGAUGGAGAGAUGGACUGUAAAGAUGGAUCAGAUGAACACGGCUGUGAAUAUCGGUGUAAAGCAGGUAAAGCUCAUGAAGUGAACACAUAACUGUCUGGUGUAACUCAGGCGAGUGUCACUGACGAUGUUUCCUCGUAGAUCAGUUCCAGUGCGCUCAUGGGAGGAUGUGUAUCGACAGAAAGCAGGUGUGUGACGGCACACCUCAGUGUCAGGAUCGCUCUGAUGAACUGGACUGUUUCAGUCGCUCACACGAAUGCAGACAUCAGUGUGAUAAUAAAACUCGCUGCAUCCCAGAGAGCUUCCUCUGUGAUGGAGAGAAAGACUGCGUGGACGCCACUGAUGAACACGACUGCUGUGAGUUUUUGAAGAUGGAGUUUUUAUUUUUAUGAGUUUUGAGGUUUUUGCCUAAUCUAUGAUUAUAGAUUCUAUUUGAAUCUAUAAUUUUUCCAAACACCUUUUGAUGAGUGAGUUU